UCUUGCCACCCCAGAUGAUUGAGUUAUAUAUAUAUAUAUAUAUAUAACUCAAUCAUCUGGGGUGGCAAGA